AUGCCUCCAACAAAAGGCGAUGCUCUGAUUCAGCUGUAUACUCAUUUCAUCUCUGAUUUUGAGAGGAAGAUCAAUCUUCUUAAAUUUGCUCACUUCGUGGUAGUAGUUUCACGCCAGUAUUCAGAUAAAGAUGCUGGUAUAAGCUAUCUCGAAGGCGUAAUUUCGAAGCUGCGUGAUACCAAGGAAUCACGGGUUGAAGAGCCCAUUCUGUAUGUGAAGAUGUAG
rnacentral:rRNA from 1 species